GACAAACGCUAGCGGCGUGUAUUAGGCAUGCAAGUCGCACGGUCACCUCGCAAGAGGUGGCAGUGGCGGACGGGUGAGUAACACGUGGGUAACCUGCCUCGCAGUGGGGAAUAACUCGCCGAAAGGCGAGCUAAUACCGCAUACCACUCUCGGUGAGAAUCCGAGCAGUAAAAGUAGCAAUGCGCUGUGAGAGGGGCCCGCGGCCGAUUAGCUUGUUGGUGGGGUAACGGCCUACCAAGGCGACGAUCGGUAGCUGGUCUGAGAGGAUGGUCAGCCACACGGGGACUGAGAUACGGCCCCGACUCCUACGGGAGGCAGCAGCUAAGAAUCUUGCGCAAUGAGCGAAAGCUUGACGCAGCAACGCCGCGUGGAGGACGAAGGCCCUCGGGUCGUAAACUCCUUUUGUGAGGGAAGAAGAUCUGACGGUACCUCACGAAUAAGCCACGGCUAACUACGUGCCAGCCGCCGCGGUAAC
rnacentral:rRNA from 1 species